rnacentral:rRNA from 1 species
UACGAAGGGGGCUAGCGUUGCUCGGAAUCACUGGGCGUAAAGCGCACGUAGGCGGAUCUUUAAGUCAGGGGUGAAAUCCUGGAGCUCAACUCCAGAACUGCCUUUGAUACUGGCGGACUCGAGAUCGGUAGGGGUGAGUGGAACUCCAGGUGGAGCGGUGAAAUGCGUAGAUAUCUGGAGGAACACCGGUGGCGAAAGCGACUCACUGGACCGACACUGACGCUGAGGCGCGAAAGCUAGGGUAGCAAACGGG